GAUGAAGAACGUAGCGAAAUGCGAUAAGUAGUGUGAAUUGCAGAAUUCAGUGAAUCAUCGAAUCUUUGAACGCACAUUGCGCCUCCUGGUAUUCCGGGAGGCAUGCCUGUUCGAGCGUCAUUAAAAUCACUCAAGCUUAGGUUUACCUAUUGCUUGGUCUUGGAGAUGGAAGCCAAUUCAUUGGAAUCCUCUUCGAAAUCCAAUGGCGAAGACCCUUGCUCUCCCAAGUGUAGUAAUAACUUAUGUCACUGAAGGAAGCGAGAAAUCUUCCGCCGUAACCCCCAUAUUUUCUAUGAUUGACCUCGGAUCAGGUAGGGAUACCCGCUGAACUUAAGCAUAUCAAUAAGCGGAUGA
rnacentral:misc_RNA from 1 species